GCAAGUCGAGGGGCAGCAUAACUUAGUUUACUAGGUUGAUGGCGACCGGCGCACGGGUGCGUAACGCGUAUGCAACCUACCUCGUACUGGGGAAUAGCCCGGAGAAAUCCGGAUUAAUGCCCCAUAGUAUUCUAUACUGGCAUCAGUUUUAGAAUUAAAGGUUACGGUACGAGAUGGGCAUGCGUCCCAUUAGCUAGAUGGUAAGGUAACGGCUUACCAUGGCAACGAUGGGUAGGGGGCCUGAGAGGGUGAUC
rnacentral:rRNA from 1 species